GAUGAACGCUGACGGCGUGCCUAACACAUGCAAGUCGAGCGAUUUUCUUCGGAAGAGAGCGGCGGACGGGUGAGUAACGCGUGGGUAACCUGCCCUGUACACACGGACAACAUACCGAAAGGUAUGCUAAUACGGGAUAAAAUAUGAAAGUCACAUGACUUUUGUAUCAAGGCUUUAUCGGUACAGGAUGGACCCGCGUCUGAUUAGCUAGUUGGUAAGGUAAUGGCUUACCAAGGCGACGAUCAGUAGCCGACCUGAGAGGGUGAUCGGCCACACUGGAACUGAGACACGGUCCAGACUCCUACGGGAGGCAGCAGUGGGGAAUAUUGCACAAUGGGCGAAAGCCUGAUGCAGCAACGCCGCGUGAGCGAUGAAGGCCUUCGGGUCGUAAAGCUCUGUCCUCAAGGAAGAUAAUGGCGGUACUUGAGGAGGAAGCCCCGGCUAACUACGUGCCAGCAGCCGCAGUAAUAC
rnacentral:rRNA from 1 species